rnacentral:rRNA from 1 species
UACGGGGGGGGUAAGCGUUGUUCGGAAUUACUGGGCGUAAAGGGCUCGUAGGCGGCCAACUAAGUCAGACGUGAAAUCCCUCAGCUUAACUGGGGAACUGCGUCUGAUACUGGAUGGCUUGGAUUCGGGAGAGGAAUGCGGAAUUCCAGGUGUAGCGGUGAAAUGCGUAGAUAUCUGGAGGAACACCGGUGGCGAAGGCGGGUCUCUGGGCCGUAACUGACGCUGAGGAGCGAAAGCAUGGGGAGCGAACAGG